CCAAAAGGGAAAAAAUCUCUUGAGAAACAGAGGAAAAGAACAGUUAGGCAAGGUACUUCGGGUAAUUUGUGCCAAGUAUAUAAAUGCCAUGCUAACCUCCAUUUGCACAGACAAUGGCAUUCAUGGAUCCCUUCCUCAAUCCUUGGUACUGGAGAAACAAUUAGCCCUCACCAGGCACAACCUAUUCAUACUGUGCAUUUCCCUCUUGAAGUGAGCGACCCAAGAAUAGGCCCUUGCCUGAUGUCUUUGUGGAGGCCAUCUCACUUCUGGAACAAAGCUUGGCACCUACUAUUUGCAGAACAAGGAUGCCCAGUGUACUCCUCUCCACUCUGAAGAGCCCUUACUAUGCAUGGUGCCACCAUUUUACCCUUGGAGGAACUAAAACAGAGAGGUAAUGAAGUGGCGGGGGGGGGUGCAGUUAUAACCUCAGAAUUUGAUUUCAUCUUUUGGAUGCAAAGUCUGCAUUGAAC
rnacentral:lncRNA from 1 species